rnacentral:sRNA from 1 species
GUAUAUAUAUAUGUAGACGUUCAUUACUAGUAAUAAAUUACCUGAGUAUUGAGAUAUAUGGAGUAUCAAUUUAUUUUUAUUUUUCUUUUGUGUAUUUAUUUUUAUAAGAGAUAUAUUUAUAUUAUAAGGUAAUACAAAUAUAUUUAUAUUGAUAGAAUAGUAGUAGUAGUACAUAUAAAACAUUUCUGGCAAACUUAUGUAACAUAGCUAUAUAGUAUGCAGAAGUACUCACUGAUGGCCUAUUAAAAUUAUACGGAACCAAAGCUGUCAUCAACAUAUGGAAACCGCUGGUUGAAAAUAAAGAAAUGAAGAUGAGCAUUUCUCAAAUUUGGAUAACUUAUGGAGACUAUGAUACAAAUGAUCUUAACACUAUAAAAGUUGUAUGGCAGGUGCGUAUAUAACGUAGGAAUAAUUUAUUAUUAUGUAUUGGUUCUUUAUUUUUAAAGUAAUACAUAUAAAACAUACGUUAUUUUCUUUCUUUCUUCUCCUUUAUUUUUAAUAUUUAUUUUAUUUUAUUUUAAUCAAAGAAAACAAAAACGUUCAGAGAUACAAGUGCCCAGAGAUGAAGAACAAGACUUGGAACAAGGUAUCAAAAAUGAACAUGCUGAAGAUCGUGUUUGUGUAUGGGACGAGAAAUCUGUAGGUGUUUUUGUUUUUAUUUUUAAUAGGUUAAUGACGAGAAAAUUAUUUGAUCUUAUUUGUUUUUU